AUGCGCAGUCACCGCUUCUACCGCCGAUGCUCCUGCCGCUACCCACGGCUGCCUCGUGCCCUCCCGCAGCCCCAGCUUUUCUACCGCCCUUCGUACCGGCCUCUCAAGCCACGGAGGGGGAGAAAAGGGGACGGGACACCGGCUCUACAACUGCUGACACCCGCGUCGCCUCUGCCACCGCCCAGCCCAGCCACCGUCCAGUCCCCGCCAUGCGUCUUCACGUCCCCGCGUGCACCACCGAAGCCACCCAACGCCGGCACACGGCCCCCGCCUGUCUCCGCCCCGCUGCUAACACCGGCACAGAUCUCGUCAGUAUCCGCUACGCCAACAACUCUCCCCGGCAACGCGAAACAGCGACAGUUUUCUGCUUUCCUCUUCUACCUCACCACUUCCUCUUCAGAGCCCCAAAAAAGGCAUUUCAAAGGUUUAAAGCUGCAUUUCAGGGCACUUCUACCCACACCCCGGCACCAAAUAUCUGCGACGGGAGCGAGGCCAGCAGGAGGAUUGCAAUUUCCAGAAGUUCUAGGCCACGUCAAGUGCAAUAUUUCAGAUUCUCUCAGCAGAUUCAUCGUAACACAAAAGGGAACCGCCCCCACAGCAGCUUUCCUUAGCAGCGGAUCGGCCUCUCGCACAGAUUCGCUUCGGAGAGAUAAGUCCAGGGCCGUGGUCACAGAGGGGAUCAAAGCAGGGCGGUGGGUUAGGAUUCACACCGUUUAGGGGUUUUGAGUCAGCUAUGGGGAGGGGAAGGUUUGAGAAAUGGCCAUUGGGGCCACAGUGAGGGAAAGGCUCACUUUAGCUAACAAUGCUGAGGUGGGCAGGGCAGAGCAGUCCCGGGGGGUUGUCACUUGUCUCUCGUGCUUUCUGUAUAUUCCGUGCAUCUCGUGUAACGUGCCUCUUGCCUUAGCCCUCCCAGGAGCUUCUGAGAAACCCCAGGUCCUUCCAUUCAUCUCCCAUCUUUGCGUUCCUCGGCCCGACGCCGGCGCAACUUUGAUUCUGGAGCUCUGACACGCGUCAGAAUCGCAUCUGUCUUCAGAAGCACGCGAUCGUACGUUUUUUUAGGUCUCGUUCUCAGCUGUGUCAACAGCUAUAUGCAGCAGUGUUUCUUUACAGUGGAUAAGGACUUGUGCCAAUUCAAAGGCAGGCAGAGGCUUCCAGCCACAGGAUUCUCAGGCAUCCGUCUCUGCGGUUCUUGGAAAAAGUUGUUCCUUUAGCAUCUUUUUCCUCCAGGGUCAUCUGAUCCCGACAGGCUCGCCUGGGGUCCCUCCUCGGUCAUCACGUUCAGCAUUCUCUUGGUCCUCGUGAGGACUUUCUUGUCUCAGAGUUUUCUCUCCCUGUCACGUCCCCUCGUCUCACGUGUCACGAGUGUCUGGGGGUAUUUGGUCCGGAGCUGCUCUGCCCUGCCGCCCAGCCGGGUUGUAGGCGUUUAAGGACAAGUCCCGGGCACUUGUAAUCGGAGACUUGUAGUACGGGCUGUAGUUGGAGUCUAGGUGGUAUUCUUAUGUUGGCAGAAGGUGUUUGGAGCUGUGAGGUUACCCUGCAGCACUU
rnacentral:lncRNA from 1 species